UACGAAGGGGGCUAGCGUUGCUCGGAAUCACUGGGCGUAAAGGGUGCGUAGGCGGGUCUUUAAGUCAGAGGUGAAAGCCUGGAGCUCAACUCCAGAACUGCCUUUGAUACUGAGGAUCUCGAGUUCGGGGAGAGGUGAGUGGAACUGCGAGUGUAGAGGUGAAAUUCGUAGAUAUUCGCAAGAACACCAGUGGCGAAGGCGGCUCACUGGCCCGAGUACUGACGCUGAGGCGCGAAAGCGUGGGGAGCAAACAGGG
rnacentral:rRNA from 1 species